rnacentral:rRNA from 1 species
CCUACGGGUGGCUGCAGUGGGGGAUAUUGCACAAUGGGGGAAACCCUGAUGCAGCGACGCAGCGUGUGGGAAGACGGUCCUCUGGAUUGUAAACCACUGUCCCCAGGGACGAAGAUGACGGUACCUGGGGAGGAAGCGCCGGCUAACUACGUGCCAGCAGCCGCGGUAAUAAGUAGGGAGCGAGCGUUGUCCGGAAUUACUGGGUGUAACGGGAGCGUAGGCGGGACUGCAAGUUGGGUGUCAAAUCUACCGGCUCAACCGGUAGCCGCACUCAAAACUGCGGUUCUUGAGUGAAGUAGCGGCAGUCGGAAUUCCUAGUGUAGCGGUGUCAUGCGUACAUAUUAGG